rnacentral:rRNA from 1 species
GUGCUUGCACCGAGCGGAUGAGUUGCGAACGGGUGAGUAACGCGUAGGUAACCUGCCUCUUAGCGGGGGAUAACUAUUGGAAACGAUAGCUAAUACCGCAUAAAAGUCGACAUCGCAUGAUGUUGAUUUGAAAGGUGCAAUUGCAUCACUAAGAGAUGGACCUGCGUUGUAUUAGCUAGUUGGUGAGGUAACGGCUCACCAAGGCGACGAUACAUAGCCGACCUGAGAGGGUGAUCGGCCACACUGGGACUGAGACACGGCCCAGACUCCUACGGGAGGCAGCAGUAGGGAAUCUUCGGCAAUGGGGGCAACCCUGACCGAGCAACGCCGCGUGAGUGAAGAAGGUUUUCGGAUCGUAAAGCUCUGUUGUAAGAGAAGAACGAGUGUGAGAGUGGAAAGUUCACACUGUGACGGUAACUUACCAGAAAGGGACGGCUAACUACGUGCCAGCAGCCGCGGUAAUACGUAGGUCCCGAGCGUUAUCCGGAUUUAUUGGGCGUAAAGCGAGCGCAGGCGGUUAGAUAAGUCUGAAGUUAAAGGCUGUGGCUUAACCAUAGUACGCUUUGGAAACUGUUUAACUUGAGUGCAGAAGGGGAGAGUGGAAUUCCAUGUGUAGCGGUGAAAUGCGUAGAUAUAUGGAGGAACACCGGUGGCGAAAGCGGCUCUCUGGUCUGUAACUGACGCUGAGGCUCGAAAGCGUGGGGAGCAAAC